UAUAGUUCAGUGGUAAAAUGCCUAACUUGCAUGUAUGAGGCCCUGGGUUCAAUUCCUAGUA
rnacentral:tRNA from 1 species